rnacentral:rRNA from 1 species
GAUGAACGCUAGCGGCAGGCCUAACACAUGCAAGUCGAGGGGUAGCAGGAUUAAGCUUGCUUAAUUGCUGACGACCGGCGCACGGGUGCGUAACGCGUAUGCAACCUACCUUAUACUGGGGUAUAGCCCGGAGAAAUUCGGAUUAAUCCCCCAUAGUACUAAUGAAUCGCAUGGUUUAUUAGUUAAAGCAUUGGGGUAUAAGAAGGGCAUGCGUACUAUUAGCUAGAUGGUGAGGUAACGGCUCACCAUGGCUACGAUAGGUAGGGGGCCUGAGAUGGUGGUCCCCCACACUUGUACUGAGACACGGACCAGACUCCUACGGGAGGCAGCAGUGAGUAAUAUUGGUCAAUGGGCGCAAGCCUGAACCAGCCAUGCCGCGUGCAGGAAGAAUGCCCUAUGGGUUGUAAACUGCUUUUAUUUGGGAAUAAACCUCUUUACGUGUAGAGAGCUGAAGGUACCAAAUGAAUAAGCACCGGCUAACUCCGUGCCAGCAGCCGCCGUAA